rnacentral:tRNA from 1 species
GCGAGGAUGGCGGAAUUGGUAGACGCGCUAGACUUAGGAUCUAGUGUCCCAGCGGCGUGGGAGUUCGAGUCUCCCUCCUCGUA